rnacentral:rRNA from 1 species
CCUACGGGUGGCAGCAGUGGGGAAUAUUGCACAAUGGGGGGAACCCUGAUGCAGCGACGCCGCGUGAGUGAAGAAGGAUUUCGGGAUGUAAAGCUCUAUCAGCAGGGAAGAAAAUGACGGUACCUGACUAAGAAGCCCCGGCUAACUACGUGCCAGCAGCCGCGGUAAUACGGAGGGGGCAAGCGUUAUCCGGAUUUACUGGGUGUAAAGGGAGCGUAGACGGUUCUGCAAGUCUGAAGUGAAAGCCUAAGGCUCAACCAUGGGACUGCUUUUGAAACGGUCAAACUGGAGUGCAGGAGAGGUAAGCGGAAUUCCUAGUGUAGCGGUGAAAUGCGUAGAUAUUAGGAGGAACACCAGUGGCGAAGGCGGCUUACUGGACUGUAACUGACGUUGAGGCUCGAAAGCGUGGGGAGCGAACAGGAUUAGAUACCCGGGUAGUC